CAGAUCUACAAAGAGGGCUGGGCAAUAAAAAAUAAAAUAACACAUGUUCAAUAAAUAUUUGGUUUAAUUCAUAUGAAUCACAAAGAAAUUAUCACAUAAUUUAUUUUGUUGAGGAAAAAAGAUUUACUCAUCAGAUUUGUUUAAAAAUAAUUAUCAUACUAGUUUUGACUGUUCUGCCUCAGAUUUGUGAAGUGAUCCUCUGUUUGGCAUCAAGUGUUUGUCCCAUUAAAGAAAAAUUUAACCACAUAAUGAACCAUCUGGUUUCUUCAGUUUUCAGUCAGGGGCAAAAAUCAGCUUUUAAACUUGAACGAAAAAACGGUUUGAUAUUCUGAUAAUUAUCGAUAUCGAAUGAUGUGAAAUGUUUUUACCGUGAUAACAUUUUUGGCCGUAUCGCCCAGCCCUGUCUACAAAAGCCUUUAUUUCAGUGAGCAAAAGAAACCAAAUACAAUAUUCUCUGAUGUCCACAGUCACAUGGGUCAGAGAGAGAUCCUUUACUGCAGUAGAAGUACAAAUACUCCACAAGUAAAAGUCCUGCAUUCAAACCUUCCGACAGUAAAAGUAUGUGAGUAUUAUCAGCAGCAUUGUUGCAGUAGAAGUACUCAUGUUGCAGUAAAGAGAGUGAGAAAACAGCUGAGAUUGCCCCGCCCACAGGAAGUGAUGUCACUACCCUCCAUGAUUUUAAACUUAAAUAAAUCCUGGACAGAAAACUGGCAGCUGCAGAAGUGAAUGUCUUCACCCGACGAUCCUUAAAGAGUCUGAGCAAACAUGUUGUAUUCAUGCUGUCAGCGUCCCGUUGUCUUCACAUGUUUGCUGCUAGAGGAGAAGUCCUCAAUAAAACAGACUGUUUCUACUUUAUACGUGUUUUUUUUCCAGGUUGGGUUAAAAUCCAUAAUUAUCUAUUUCAAGGAGAAAAUAUUGUUUCAUUUAAUCGCUGGCGUUUUGGAUCUGUUGUUACUUGUAUUUAAAUUCAUUGCUGAUUUAAUGCUGCAUUAGGACAUUUUUGUUCCUUAUCGAAAACUUUUUUUAAAAUUUUGAUCCCAUGUUGCAGAAUAGGAAUAACACACUGUGUAGAUCAAAUAUCGACGUCUGUGCAAUAAGGACAAAACAAUAAGGACAUUUAAACCCAUUAAAAUGUCGUUUACGGCUCGAGCCGUCACUAAUACAUGAAUCAUGACUUGUGCCGAAACAUCCUUUCAUUUUGAAGGAAAACAUUAAAUUUCCACCAGAUGGCGCCACUACAUAGGUUGACUGUGUUAUAAAGCAUUUUAUGGCUCAAUGAUCUAAAAUGACUGAGUAUGUGUGGAUGUCUGAGAGCCAUGUGUGUAGGGCCUAAAUGUCAAACGUGGUGUUUAGGUGACAAAAUCACACAAAUAUCCUGCAGGUUACUUUUUUUUGUGCAGUCUAUGGUUCAAAGACUUUAGAACAUUUCUCACCUACGUAGAGGCAAAAACACAGCAGUCAGUCCUUAGACAAUAAUAAAAUCUUGCAUCUUGCGGCAACACAAAGAAUCCAAAACAAAGUCUGCCUUUGUUUUGGAUUAGAAUAUUUGCGUUUAUACAGGUGCGGUUGAAGCAAAAGUUAUAAAGCUAUGCGCCUCUUCGGUGCCGCCAUUUCACACCCGACAACAUGAAGAAAACCUACACGGCCCCCGAAGCUGUGGAUUACGUUACUGAUCCAUCAGACUGACGGCGAGCUGGAGUGGCAGUGUAACCGAGAGCGCCACAGAUGAUGUGGAGUUUCACCUGACGUCGGAUUCCUCAUCUGACUCAACUCAAAGUGAGGAGCUGGAUAACACAGAGGAGACAGCCGAUCCUAUGUGGACAUCAAAAAAUGGACUCCACUUGUCACCCGCUAACGCCGAGACGCUACGUGCCUGCCAAGGCGACCCGACACACUACGGAACAGCUCGCAUCGAGGACCCAAAGUCCGCAUUCCAGCUGCUGUUCACGGAGGAGAUGGUAAAACUGAGAAGGUCCCAGAAAAACUGGAUUAACAUUGAUGCGACGGAUGCGGAGGCGUCCAUCAGGGUUCUGAUUCUGGCUGGAGUCUACAAGUCCCGCAAUGAGUCCACCCGGAGCCUGUGGGAUGAUCACACAGGCCGGCCGAUCUUCAGGGCCACAACGCCCCACCGCAAUUUCCAAAACUGGAGUUCAAAUGUAAGAUUUGACCCGACCUGGACUUUACCGGGAUGACGAGCUCGCAGCGUUCAGGCCCAUCUGGGAGAAGUGGCUGCACCGCCUCCCCCUUCUCUUUAACCCCGGGGUGGACGUCUGUGUGGACGAGCAGCUGGUCGGGUUCCGUGGCCGCUGCAAAUUCAGGCAGUACAUGUCGUGUAAACCUGCCAAAUAUGGAAUAAAAAUCUGGGUCACAAGUGAUGUCUCCACCUCAGAUGCAUGGAAAAUGCAGAUCUAUACUGGAACAGAGAGUUGUGGGGCUGGAGGGACGCACUGUCACCACAGACCAUUUCUUCACCUCUCAUGCGCUGGCAGAGGAGCUGCUGAAGGAAAAACUCGCUCUGGUUGGAACAAUUAGGAAGAACAACCCUGAGCUUCCUCCACACCUCCUCCAAACUAGAGAGCGAGCGCCCAGAUCAGACCACAACGGCCGAGUCUUAUGUGCCCAAACGAGGGAGAAACGUGUUUUUGCUGAGCACCGCGAGCCUGCGGUGAGUGGAGGGGAGCACCAGAAGCCCAGGAUGCAAAGGAGCUGUGGACAACCUGGAUAAGGCUGUUGACGCAUACAGCUGCAAGAGGAAAACAUCGGUGGCCAAUGGCGCUCUUCUAUAAUCUCAUAGAUGUGUCGGCUUUCAACGCCUUUGUCCUGGUUCCAGGAAGGGUCAGGAGCCGGGACCAAAGUGUCAAAAGGAGGCUGUUCCUGGAGGAGCUGGGGAGGAUGCUGGUGUAUCCCCGGAUGCAGAGGAGAGGGCGCCUCCCCCGCACACCAGCUGCUGCAGCCAUGGUGAAAUCACAGCAGAUUGCUGAAAAGGCAAAAGCAAGUGGGGCUGCAGACACCUGCAAGAGGAGGAGGGCGUGCUGUUGCUGCGCAGACAAAAAAGAAACAUUUCGACCACCUGCACAGAAUGUGGCGCUUACAUUUGUAGGCAUGCCUUCCCAUUCUGCAGCUGAACACCCCCCUCCAUCCACACACCCUCUCAUUCCUACACCACGCCUGUGUAUUCUGAAGUAUUCUGAAGUGUGAUAUGUUUUCUAAAGUUGUUGGUAUUGCUGAAAGUUUAGGUGUUGAAAGGUUUUGUGUAUGUAUAGUUUUUGAUAUAAAGAUUCGGUUUUUACAUUAAGUUUUGAUAUGAAGUCUUUAUGAAGUUUUGAUGUGUUUAUAUAAUUUAGAAAAAUAAAAAUUCAUAUUCAUGGUGA